GCAGCAGGAUUGCCCGAUCUUCAACGAGACUAAGUCAAACAGCCAGCACCUGAGCAUAAAGCACUUAAUCAGAAACAAUAGCAGGAGACAGAUCCUCCUGGGAUUUGCAUCUGGAAGAAUAAGAGGGGAAAGCCAGGUGCCUGGCUGUGGGAGGAAGGAGCUGGACCGGCUGGACAAGCACUUGGCUGCCAAGUAUCCUGAUAUUAAUAAUAAUAAUAAUAAUAUGCCAUUUAGCAGACGCUUUUAUCCAAAGCGACUUACAGUCAUGCGUGCAUAUAUUUUUUGUAAGUUACACACCUUUUCGCAGAUCUGUCAGUCCCCAUUGACUCCCAUUCAAGUGCUUUAUGCUUUAUGCUUUAUACAGUAUAACUUACAUUUACAGGAUGUUAAAGUCGCCAAUCUUCUAGCAAAGAAAGAGACGGCCAUAGACCUCCUCAGUGAACUGGCCAUAGGGAUGACUCCCUGCCUGGACCUCCUCACUCACCCCGGUGCUAUGCUGUCAGACGCAGACUUCAUGCCGGACACAGCCUCCGACAGCAGCCCUGAGAGGGAGUGGAGACCCCACUGCCACCUUCUCCAGACAACCAGAUCCCGCCGCCGCAGUGCCGACCCAGCCAUCAACAGGAAGACCAAGAGGAAGAGUCAUCUUCUCAUGAUGAUGAGGUCGACAAUGAAAAACAUAGACUGUCCCCCACCGGCAGCCCUCAACCAAUGGUCAUGCAGCCCUCCUCCACCCUCCCCUCCAAGAGGUGUCAGAGACUUACCAGGAAGGUUGAAAAUUUACCAGACCCUCUUGAAAGUCUCCAACGCCAAGCUCACAGAGGCUCAUAGGCAGCUCCUCUCCCAGCGGCAGGGAGGAAUGUGCUGGUUAGUGGCGGUGAUGGUUAGGGUUUAGGGCAGGGGUUCACAAACUUUUUUGGCCAGCGACCCCAUUUUGAUAUCUGAAAAUUGUCCCUACUCCAACCAUGUGAAAAUAAAUUCUGCAAUUAACAGCCAAUGUUUACUUUUUUAAUUGGGGCUAUGGCAAUCAAUUGCAAAACAUUCUGAUUGUAUUCUCAACUCACCAUCAUAUACUUUUAAUGUGGGGCUAUGACAGUCAAUUGCAAAUUAGUCUGAUACAAUUCCUCUUUUCAGCACCCCUAAUGAGAUGGGUGUGCUUGAUGUAUGUCGCGUCGGAGCUUCUCAAAAUAAAGGUGCAUGGUCGACAGUGCUGUCCUCAUCUCUCCUGUCACAUCCAACUUGGAUCGAUAUUUGUUUUUAAUGCAGACAAGAGCACUGAAUCAGCAUACCAUGAGUUUCAAUGCUCUGAGGGAGACGGCACAGUAUUCUCUUUGAGUCAAGAACCAGAACUCCUCCAUAGUGACCCGUGAAUGGGUUGUCUGCAGCAUUCGUUCACGUUACAGCGGUUCGAUUUCACUUACUGGCAUGUCAACAGAGCCAGGAACACAGUCAAACUGAUUUUGCUGAUGCGGUCACUCAUCUGUAUAAUUUUUUUGUAUUUCCCCUGCAUGCUUGCGUUCAAUUUGUUCAGUUUCUCAAAUAUAUCUGUUACAUAGGCAAGGAGACACAUCUUCUUUUCAUUUUUUACAUCUGUUGCGAAUGACAACAGUUGCUCCAAAAUUGCUGGCCAUCAAUAUCCCUCACCUCAUGGUGUGCCAGUUGGGGUUGGUGCGCUGUCCAACUGUUGCCUGCCAUAUAGCCUCCUGCUGAUCCACCGACAGCGCCAUGCCUGCCAGGAUGCCUGCAUGCCCCAGGUGCCCUUGUAUUUUAACAAUGUCUGGUACAGACAGGGUAGUGGUUGUUCUGGCUCAGGUUCAAAGAGACAUGCCAUUCCACUGAACCUGCCCCGGAGACGGUUCCUUAGACACUGAAGAUCCUUCUCUGUGGGCUAUCGGCACAGAGGGUUGUAAUCUUCAGCCGGGUACAGGUCCUCCACUGACUCUACCUGGUUGGGCACGGCUGGCUUCCUCCACUCACAUUCCACAUCCGUACAGCCGAUAUUGUGAACCGUAAAAAUAGCCAAUACGGUCGCAUGGCUACACUUAUGAGCUCCACGGGGGCAUUUGCAUGUGGUAGAGAGAAUCCCCUGGUCACCUAUAGAGACCUGCCAAGAGGAAGGAUGUUAAGUGCCACAUGCCUUUUAAUGCAUGACUUUCAACACUUUGAAAUGCAUUUGUUGUAAGAAAUGUGCUAUGUAAAUAAAGUUUGAUUUGAUUGAUGACAUUACAGCUGUAGAAUAUUUAAUAAACUGUAAUUUUCACGAGGACAAGUGCAGUUUUCCCCAUGGACUUUUAAUUGAUAACUUGGGAUUUUAUCACUUGACAUAUCAAUUUGUAGAUGCAUCAACAUUUUGACUUUAUUUCCCCUUUUCCCCAUGUUUUAGACAUGAUGCAUGACAUGCGGAACAUCUUCUGGAAGUGAUAUACUCUAUCUCUCACUCUGGGGUACAGGCAGGGAUGACUGGAGCCUUCAGCAAGUAAGACGGGUACUGACAGGAGGAGCAAUAUGAGUCUGCCAGGGGUCGUCACGCUGGAUGGAGAUGGAGGCUUUGGUGGUCCACACAACGAAGAAGCAGGUGUCCCUUCCAGUGAUGUGGAGUUGACCUUAGACCUGGUGCCAGUAAGGAUGGUCUUCACGGAGGCUGUAAGACCCUCCCUCCUUGAUAUAGAAAUAAUUCGACUUCACUGCCUCUUCAAUGGUAAGGUCCCUUGCACCUGUUGGAUUCUAGCUUGAAAUAUACUUAUUCAUGUUACCAUACUAUAACUAAUUGAUUACUGUACAUGUAUAAGGAAUGUAUAUGUUGGGGGUCAAUAGAGGAUGGAUAAGAACUAGGUGGAUGGAAAGUUACUGAGUGAGGAAGGGGUAGUGCAGAAAGUUUACAUUCUGUAAAAACAUUGUAUUGUUAAAUCUCAUGGAUCCUAUGGAGGGAGGCAAAGGACAACAGUCUGGUUUCAGUCACUGAUCAGGUAGGACAGCCGUGGAUUAGGAAGGAGUGAGGAAUUCGGCCUGAGGUCAGGUCAGAUGAAGUGAGAAGGAACAGUCCUAUCCCACACACAUAUUUCCACGCCCACGAAGGUUCUAGCAUGAGGCAGGGCCAUGACUACACCAGUGAGAGGAACCAAUUAAGUUCCUGCAUAGCAACAGAGAUGUAUUGGCUGUCUAGAUGUGCAAGAAGAGUCACUUCCUAGUAGGAGGGUAUAAAUAUAUGUGCUUGUGUAAACAUGUAUUUGUCUUUGCAGCUGUUUGACCCAGUGGGUGAAUAAACUUGGUUUGAGCUUUUCCUAGUCGUCCAUUUUUACUCUGUUUAGAACCUAACACACCAUAGGGACACUUGAGCUCCACCACUGCUGUGGUGCCCACCAGACCAUCUGGUGAGGCACCCAGGAUCCCAGACCCUGUGACCCAAAGCCCUGACUCCUGCACAUCUAUCCCUGUUGCCAUUUUGGAUGCCUUGAUGCCCUUUUCUUUGUUAUCUGUGCCCCACUUUACAUACAACACCCAAUCUAACGACUGUGAACA